rnacentral:rRNA from 1 species
AUUGAACGCUGGCGGCAGGCCUAACACAUGCAAGUCGAGCGGAUGAAGGGAGCUUGCUCCUGGAUUCAGCGGCGGACGGGUGAGUAAUGCCUAGGAAUCUGCCUGGUAGUGGGGGAUAACGUCUGGAAACGGGCGCUAAUACCGCAUACGUCCUGCGGGAGAAAGUGGGGGAUCUUCGGACCUCACGCUAUCAGAUGAGCCUAGGUCGGAUUAGCUAGUUGGUGGGGUAAAGGCCUACCAAGGCGACGAUCCGUAACUGGUCUGAGAGGAUGAUCAGUCACACUGGAACUGAGACACGGUCCAGAGUCCUACGAGAGGCAGCAGUGGGGAAUAUUGGACAAUGGGCGAAAGCCUGGUCCAGCCAUGCCGCGUGUGUGAAGAAGGUCUUCGGAGUGUAAAGCACUUUAAGGUGGGAGGAAGGGCAGUAAGUUAAUACCUUGCUGUUUUGACGUUACCAACAGAAUAAGCACCGGCUAACUUCGUG